UCUUUUUGAAUAUAACGUGUAUGACUCAUUAGCCUGUGUAACCAGCUAUACGACAAUUCCUCCAUUACUUAUAAAAAAAAAUAUUUAAAAAAAAAGUAUUGAACAAGUUAUUAUUUAAUAUCAAACAUUUCAAACUCGUUCUAACAAAUUAUAAAAAUCUAAAAUCUAAAAUCAACUUGACAUCUGUUUUACCCCUAAGGUAAGGAUGUUUUACAUCAACCUUUUGUUACUUUAUUCUCAAAGAAAAAUCGCCGAAGGUAAUAUCCGGUCAGAGAUGUCCGGUCAGAGAUGUUAUCUAAUGACUUUUUAUUAGUUUAUUUUUAAAGAAAAAAAACGCCUUAGGAAACAAUAUUCGGAAAUAUUCGCUCAAUAUAUUUUCUUGUCACUUUUUAAAAAGUUUUCGGAUACUGCAGUCGGGUAAGUUAUAAUUUACUUCAACAAUUUUGUAAUGUUUUUAAUAAGUAAAAAAAAAUAAUUAUUGUUAAAUGUAAAGAUAAUCUUUUCGAAAUUUUUAAUCAGUUAAUAUAACUGUUAUUCUACAAAUAAUAUUAAAGUGACAUAAGGUAAAUAUUAUAGCUUUAUAAGUUUUUCAAUAAAUAUUAAAUUUCCUUUAUUUCAUCAUAAAAAAAAAGAAAAAAAAAAUAAUUUCUAGAGAUCAAAAAAACAUAAAAAACAAACAAAUAAGUUAACAAUAUUCAAAGAAAAAAUUAUUUUAAGAAUAUUAAUUAGAAAAACUUUAAGGUAUAAAAUUUAACAGAAUUAUAGGUAUGAUAAGAGUAGAAAAGAUAUUUAUAUACGAAAAAGUUAAAAAAAAUAUUAUAAACAAUUGAUAAUUGAUAAAAUGUCCAGGUGUUUCAUUUCCUGUAAAACGUGUAUUGUGCAUGCGCAUUGAACACUUCCUGUGACAGGUAUGUUUUUUUGUAACAGGUACUUGCUGACAUCAGUAUGGCUUGGUCUUCGUGACGUGUCGGGAAUUUCAAAUCGUUGAUAUAUGAACAACAAGACAACUGUCAUAAAAUGCAUAGGAUAAGAAUUCCAAUGAAAGAUGUUCUCUAGUGUACUUCGUUGUGUCCCGCUGUCCAAAAUCGUCGCUUCGACAUCCUGGUCACGGCACCAAAUCAACCGUUGUCGUAUAACGUAGGAAGAACUCACGGAUGUUACAUACUUUUAAUAUACAAAUACAAACACACAAGUGAACGAGUGGAAUACCAAAGCUGAACUCCCACUUUGACAUUUGAGAAUAGUAUAUAUAAUAUCAACCUGUCCUAAGGACAUUUUAUAAUGUAUAUAAAUACACACGUUUUAGAGUUACAUAUAUAAAUCAUUUUGACAUAAGCUAGUCCGCAUGCAUCCUGAACUAUAAUACUCAUAAAUCAUGUCAUGUUCCAUAGUGCACAUUAUGAAAUAAAAACCUUAUUAUAUGUA